GUAGGGCCGAGCGGAUCGACCCGCCUCUUCCAGAGAGACCUUUCGAUACCCCGCUGCGGCGCUGCCUCAUCCAAUGCGCCGUCAUCCACCGCCGCGCACAAGGUGAUGGAGCCGUCCCCUCAGCUGGUGACGUGAUCCGAGCGGAGCAGCAAGGGCUUCGUAGAGCCGUCCCCUGCAGUGAAUAAAGAGAGUAGGAACAGCAAGAGCUCCGUGGAUGACGGCAAGCUCACAGCCAGCGGCGACGAGGAUCCCGCUCACCUGGAUGCGCUGAUGAUCUACCUGUUGUUCCCCAUUCAUGCUAGUUUCUGCUUGUGAAAUCCCUAGAUGUCAUGCCCUUGGAGAUUCUAAACUUUUCCAUCUUGGUAGAUUAGAUGUCCUAACCAAUCUAAUUGAGCCCGGCGAUAAAGAGGAGUGGUGGAAGGGGGGAGGAAGAUGGAGGUGCCUCACUUGCUAAUGUCUGGGCAUUUUUUAGUUUCAGAAAAUGAAUAACUAGUUGGGAAAAUGAAUGGUCCACAAGGUUGCGGUCUUUUGUCUACCAGGAUCAUCCAUUGGCCCUAUUCAUGAUUCAUCAGAGGUGUCUUAGGUCUACCAGAAUCAUCCAUUGAGCUAAUUCUGUACUUCAUUAUUGCAUAUGUUUUAUGGCAUGAUACAGUGUUAGUCCUUCCAGCAUGUUUUUAGCCUGACGU